GCCGGGCGCGGUGGCAGGCGCCUGUAGUCCCAGCUACUCGGGAGGCUGAGGCUGGAGGAUCGCCUGAGCUCAGGAGUUCUGGGCUGCAGUGCGCUAUGCCGAUCGGGUGUCCGCACUAAGUUCGGCAUCAAUACGGUGACCUCCCGGGAGCGGGGGACCACCAGGUUGCCUAAGGAGGGGUGAACAGGCCCAGGUCGGAAACGGAGCAGGUCAAAACUCCCGUGCUGAUCAGUAGUGGGAUCGCGCCUGUGAAUAGCCACUGUACUCCAGCCUGGGCAACAUAGCGAGACCCCGUCUCUU
rnacentral:SRP_RNA from 1 species